AUUGAACGCUGGCGGCAGGCCUAACACAUGCAAGUCGAACGAGUGGCGGACGGGUGAGUUAUGUCUGGGACACUGCCUGAUGGAGGGGGAUCACUACUGGACACGGUAGCUAAUACCGCCUACCAUCGGAUGUGCCCAGUUGGGAUUAGCUAGUAGGUGGGGUAAAGGCUCACCUAGGCGACGAUCCCUAGCUGGUCUGAGAGGAUGACCAGCCACACUGGAACUGAGACACGGUCCAGACUCCUACGGGAGGCAGCAGUGGGGAAUAUUGCACAAUGGGCGCAAGCCUGAUGCAGCCAUGCCGCGGGUGUGAAGAAGGCCUUCGGGGUGUAAAGUACUUUAAGCGGGGAGGCGUUACCCGCAGAAGAAGCACCGGCUAACUCCGUGCCAGCAGCCGCGGUAAUUC
rnacentral:rRNA from 1 species